CACAGAGAGCUUGCUCUCGGGUGACGAGUGGAGGACGGGUGAGUAAUGUCUGGGAAACUGCCUGAUGGAGGGGGAUAACUACUGGAAACGGUAGCUAAUACCGCAUAACGUCGCAAGACCAAAGAGGGGGACCUUCGGGCCUCUUGCCAUCAGAUGUGCCCAGAUGGGAUUAGCUAGUAGGUGGGGUAACGGCUCACCUAGGCGACGAUCCCUAGCUGGUCUGAGAGGAUGACCAGCCACACUGGAACUGAGACACGGUCCAGACUCCUACGGGAGGCAGCAGUGGGGAAUAUUUGCACAAUGGGCGCAAGCCUGAUGCAGCCAUGCCGCGUGUAUGAAGAAGGCCUUCGGGUUUGUAAAGUACUUUCAGCGGGGAGGAAGGUGUUGUGGUUAAUAACC
rnacentral:rRNA from 1 species